UAAGCAUAUCAAUAAGCGGAGGAAAAGAAACCAACAGGGAUUGCCUCAGUAACGGCGAGUGAAGCGGCAACAGCUCAAAUUUGAAAUCUGGCCCCGUCGGGGUCCGAGUUGUAAUUUGUAGAGAGUGUUUCGGGUGAGACCACGGUCUAAGUCUAUUGGAACAUGGCGUCAUAGAGGGUGAGAAUCCCGUAUGUGACCGUGGCUCGAGCCCAUGUGAAGCCUCUUCGACGAGUCGAGUUGUUUGGGAAUGCAGCUCAAAACGGGUGGUAAAUUUCAUCUAAAGCUAAAUACUGGCUGGAGACCGAUAGCGCACAAGUAGAGUGAUCGAAAGAUGAAAAGCACUUUGGAAAGAGAGUCAAAAAGUACGUGAAAUUGUUGAAAGGGAAGCGCUUGCAACCAGACCUGUCCGUAGGUGAUCAGCCGCUGUUCUCAGCGGUGCACUCGCUCUGCGAUCAGGCCAGCAUCGGUUUCGGCGGUCGGAUAAAGGCCUUGGGAAUGUAGCUUCUUUCGGGGAGUCUUAUAGCCCUCGGUGCAAUGCGGCCAGCCGGGACCGAGGACCGCGCUUCGGCUAGGAUGCUGGCGUAAUGGUUGUAAGCGACCCGUCUUGAAACACGGACCAAGGAGUCUACCAUCUAUGCGAGUGUUUGGGUGUUAAACCCAUGCGCGGAAUGAAAGUGAACGGAGGUGAGAACCCUUUAGGGCGCAUCAUCGACCGAUCCAGAUGUCUUCGGAUGGAUUUGAGUAUGAGCAUAGCUGGUGGGACCCGAAAGAUGGUGAACUAUACUUGAAUAGGGUGAAGCCAGAGGAAACUCUGGUGGAGGCUCGCAGCGGUUCUGACGUGCAAAUCGAUCGUCAAAUUUGAGUAUAGGGGCGAAAGACUAAUCGA
rnacentral:rRNA from 1 species